CGCGAAAGAACCUUACCUGGGCUUGACAUCCCGAGAAUCUCUUGGAAACUUGAGAGUUCCUUCGGGGAAUUCGGUGACAGGUGCUGCAUGGCUGUCGUCAGCUCGUGUCGUGAGAUGUUGGGUUAAGUCCCGCAACGAGCGCAACCCUUAUCUCUAGUUGCCAUCAUUAAGUUGGGCACUCUAGAGAGACUGCCGGUGUUAAGCCGGAGGAAGGUGGGGAUGACGUCAAGUCCUCAUGGCCCUUAUGCCCAGGGCUACACACGUGCUACAAUGGCCGAUACAGAGGGCAGCGAUACCGCGAGGUGGAGCAAAUCCCAGAAAGUCGGUCUCAGUUCGGAUUGGAGUCUGCAAUUCGACUCCAUGAAGUUGGAAUCGCUAGUAAUCGCAGGUCAGCAUACUGCGGUGAAUACGCUCCCGGGCCUUGUACACACCGCCCGUCACACCACGAGAGUCGUCUGUACCCGAAGUGCGUGAGCUAACUGCAAAAGAGGCA
rnacentral:rRNA from 1 species